rnacentral:rRNA from 1 species
UACGUAGGGUGCAAGCGUUAAUCGGAAUUACUGGGCGUAAAGGGUGCGUAGGCGGUUCUUUAAGUCCGGGGUGAAAGCCCACUGCUCAACAGUGGAACUGCCCUGGAAACUGGAGAACUUGAGUACAGACGAGGGCGGCGGAAUGGAUGGUGUAGCGGUGAAAUGCAUAGAUACCAUCCAGAACCCCGAUUGCGAAGGCAGCUGCCUAGACUGUAACUGACGCUGAGGCACGAAAGCGUGGGGAGCGAACAGG